rnacentral:lncRNA from 10 species
CAAGAUAGGAACUUUGUCAGCUUGUUCCUUUUCUGUAGCUUAUUUACGUCUAAGAUGGGGGCUGCAAACUUAAAUGCCCACAGCCAAAUGACAAACUAAGGCAAGCAGGACAGAGAAGAGGAAGUGGUAGAAACUACGGCAAACUGGACAGUGCAUGCCCAUCAUGGGAAGCAGCUUCUAUUCCACGCCAGGCCAGAACUGUGUGGAG